AUGAACGCUGGCGGCGUGCCUAAUACAUGCAAGUCGAGCGAACGGAUGAGAAGCUUGCUUCUCUGAUGUUAGCGGCGGACGGGUGAGUAACACGUGGAUAACCUACCUAUAAGACUGGGAUAACUUCGGGAAACCGGAGCUAAUACCGGAUGAUAUUUUGAACCGCAUGGUUCAAAAGUGAAAGACGGUCUUGCUGUCACUUAUAGAUGGAUCCGCGCUGCAUUAGCUAGUUGGUAAGGUAACGGCUUACCAAGGAAACGAUGCAUAGCCGACCUGAGAGGGUGAUCGGCCACACUGGAACUGAGACACGGUCCAGACUCCUACGGGAGGCAGCAGUAGGGAAUCUUCCGCAAUGGGCGAAAGCCUGACGGAGCAACGCCGCGUGAGUGAUGAAGGUCUUCGGAUCGUAAAACUCUGUUAUUAGGGAAGAACAUAUGUGUAAGUAACUGUGCACAUCUUGACGGUACCUAAUCAGAAAGCCACGGCUAACUACGUG
rnacentral:rRNA from 1 species